CCGCCACAUAGAGCCAGACCCUUGGCCUGCGUAGUUUUUUAAAAUUUUACUGAUUUAUUGACGGAUUGAUUUUUUUUUUUUUUUUUUUAAGGGUAACAAGGGCCCGGGGGAGAGAGAGACACAGAGAAAGAGACAGAGAGAAAGGGGGAGUGUGUUUGGGGGGAGCGGAUUAAAGGGAGUUUUGAACCCGGCUCCAGGUCCCAGAGAGUUUUGCAAAAGCCCCGCUGAAAAGGACCCAGCUUGGCCCACCCAGACACACCUGGCUUUCUUUCCAUCCGGGUCCCUGGAAGCUCAGGAAGAGGCCUGGUGCUUUCUAGGGGUGUUGAGAAAGACAGGGGACCCCACUAGAGCUUUUCCAAAGUUCUCCUCAGGGCCACAAACCUGAUGACCGCCACAUAGAGCCAGACCCUUGGCCUGUGUAGUUUUUUAAAAUUUUACUGAUUUAUUGACGGAUUGAUUUUUUUUUUUUUUUUUAAGGGUAACAAGGGCCCGGGGGAGAGAGAGACACAGAGAAAGAGAGAGAGAGAAAGGGGGAUUGUGUUUGGGGGGAGCGGAUUAAAGGGAGUUUUGAACCCGGCUCCAGGUCCCAGAGAGUUUUGCAAAAGCCCCGCUGAAAAGGACCCAGCUUGGCCCACCCAGACACACCUGGCUUUCUUUCCAUCCGGGUCCCUGGAAGCUCAGGAAGAGGCCUGGUGCUUUCUAGGGGUGUUGAGAAAGACAGGGGACCCCACUAGAGCUUUUCCAAAGUUCUCCUCAGGGCCACAAACCUGAUGACCGCCACAUAGAGCCAGACCCUUGGCCUGUGUAGUUUUUUAAAAUUUUACUGAUUUAUUGACGGAUUGAUUUUUUUUUUUUUUUUUUAAGGGUAACAAGGGCCCGGGGGAGAGAGAGACACAGAGAAAGAGAGAGAGAGAAAGGGGGAUUGUGUUUGGGGGGAGCGGAUUAAAGGGAGUUUUGAACCCGGCUCCAGGUCCCAGAGAGUUUUGCAAAAGCCCCGCUGAAAAGGACCCAGCUUGGCCCACCCAGACACACCUGGCUUUCUUUCCAUCCGGGUCCCUGGAAGCUCAGGAAGAGGCCUGGUGCUUUCUAGGGGUGUUGAGAAAGACAGGGGACCCCACUAGAGCUUUUCCAAAGUUCUCCUCAGGGCCACAAACCUGAUGACCGCCACAUAGAGCCAGACCCUUGGCCUGUGUAGUUUUUUAAAAUUUUACUGAUUUAUUGACGGAUUGAUUUUUUUUUUUUUUUUUUUUAAGGGUAACAAGGGCCCGGGGGAGAGAGAGACACAGAGAAAGAGACAGAGAGAAAGGGGGAGUGUAUUUGGGGGGAGCGGAUUAAAGGGAGUUUUGAACCCGGCUCCAGGUCCCAGAGAGUUUUGCAAAAGCCCCGCUGAAAAGGACCCAGUUUGGCCCACCCAGACACACCUGGCUUUCUUUCCAUCCGGGUCCCUGGAAGCUCAGGAAGAGGCCUGGUGCUUUCUAGGGGUGUUGAGAAAGACAGGGGACCCCACUAGAGCUUUUCCAAAGUUCUCCUCAGGGCCACAAACCUGAUGACCGCCACAUAGAGCCAGACCCUUGGCCUGUGUAGUUUUUUAAAAUUUUACUGAUUUAUUGACGGAUUGAUUUUUUUUUUUUUUUUUAAGGGGUAACAAGGGCCCGGGGGAGAGAGAGACACAGAGAAAGAGACAGAGAGAAAGGGGGAGUGUGUUUGGGGGGAGCGGAUUAAAGGGAGUUUUGAACCCGGCUCCAGGUCCCAGAGAGUUUUGCAAAAGCCCCGCUGAAAAGGACCCAGCUUGGCCCACCCAGACACACCUGGCUUUCUUUCCAUCCGGGUCCCUGGAAGCUCAGGAAGAGGCCUGGUGCUUUGUAGGGGUGUUUGAGAAAGACAGGGGAUCCCAGAAGCCUGGUCCCAAGGCUAAAGACUUUCCCAGAUUGCCCUUUCCACAGGCCCAAAGCAUGGGCGCAGAAAGAUGCCUAUUGCUCAAAGUUUUUCUGUUGCAAGUCCCAGGACCAAAUUGGGGGGGGGGG